rnacentral:lncRNA from 1 species
AUGGGACAUAAUGCAAACAAUUCUAAGUAUUACAUUUUCAAAAGCAUAUAUUAAAUACGUUUUUAUCAAUCAUCACUUCUUUGGAAAUCCGUGGAUGGAAUAAACUCCAUGAAUUUAGAUUGAGUCGAACCGGAUGAACCAUAACUUAGAUAUGGUACUCUAAUAACGCCAGGAGCAGAUGUCCAGCUACAGGACCCCUCACUGGUGUUUUCUUAGGCCUCACAUUUGAAAUAAGGGAAAAUUGCAGUAACCUCCCCUGAGGUUUAUGUGAAUAUACUCCACCUCCCCUAUUGUUUCUUACUCAACAAAGACACCCCUGCCGUUAGCUCCAUCAAUGUUCCGUUAAACAAAAGCAAAUACUUCAUGUCAAUAAAUAAAUAACCAAGUUGUUUGGGUUCCAAUGGCAAGGAACUCCUUCCAAGAACGUACCCCGGGUUCGAUUCCCAGGGGGAACAACGCUACGCAUGAGAAAACUUCAACAUUCAUUUACUACCCAACUUCCUCUCCAGUAUUAUUCUUUCGCUCUCUC